UACGUAGGAGGCAAGCGUUGUCCGGAAUUACUGGGCGUAAAGGGCGUGUAGGCGGCCUUUUAAGUCAGGCGUGAAAUCUCUGGGCUUAACCCAGAAAUUGCGUUUGAAACUGGAAGGCUUGAGGAUCGGAGAGGGCAGUGGAAUUCCCAGUGUAGCGGUGAAAUGCGUAGAUAUUGGGAGGAACACCAGUGGCGAAGGCGACUGCCUGGACGACACCUGACGCUGAGGCGCGAAAGCUAGUGGAGCAAACGGG
rnacentral:rRNA from 1 species